UAGUAUUCAAUUGUCAGAGGUGAAAUUCUUGGAUUUAUUGAAGACUAACUACUGCGAAAGCAUUUGCCAAGGAUGUUUUCAUUAAUCAAGAACGAAAAUUAGGGGAUCGAAGACGAUCAGAUACCGUCGUAGUCUUAACCAUAAACUAUGCCGACUAGGGAUCGGAUGAUGUUAAUUUUUUAAUGACUCA
rnacentral:rRNA from 1 species